GCAAGUCGAACGCGAAAGUUUCGUUCGGGAAGCGAGUAGAGUGGCGCACGGGUGAGUAAAGAGUAAGUAAUCUACCCUGGUAUCUGGGAUAACCCACCGAAAGGUGUGCUACUACCGGAUACGCUGAUUUAUCAGGAAAGGUGGCCUCUUCAUGAAAGCUACUGUACCAGGAGGAGCUUGCGUACCAUUAGCUAGUUGGUAGGGUAAUGGCCUACCAAGGCGACGAUGGUUAGCGGGUCUGAGAGGAUGAUC
rnacentral:rRNA from 1 species